CCCACUUCCUCCAUAUCAGUGGUUUUCCUACAGAUCUUCAGGACUUGGCUCCCCAGGAUCUGGUGCUCCUGGGCACAGAAGUGCUUCACUUGGGCCCUGGGCCCUGCAGCCUGGGUGUCUCACAGCAUGGACACUCAUGGUGGGUGCCAUCUGAACAAGGUGAACCUGGGAAAAUCUUGGGCUCUGCUGAGCAGUUCAGAGAGGCAGCCCAUAAGUCUUGCACUCUCAAGGAACUUCCCAGGAUGACAGCUGGCCUAGGACCCAGAGAAAGAGGAGAAAACCCCAUAGAGUUCAUCCACCUGGGAGAGAUGUCAAAGCCAGCACCUGCAGCCUGCUGGACUGCAAGACAUAGGCUUCUGGGACCACAGAACAACUGGGGAAGGCAUGGCGUGGCAGCAGAAGCAGGAAGCUGCCUGGUAACAUUUCAUCUGUGCACAGGAAGCGUGAGCAGAAAGUGGACUGAGGCUAUAAGCCAUCAAAUCCCCCCAGCAGCAAUGUGCUUCUUCCAACAGACUCCACCUCCUAAAGGUUCCAUACCCUUCCCAAACAGUGCCACCUAGGAGGAACCAAGUGUUCAUUCAAAUAGGAUGGUUAGUGUUCAAUGUCAACUUGACAGACUCUGGACUCAGCUGGGAAGAGAGCCUUUAGGCCUGCGUGGGAAUUACCUUGAUUUCAUUAAUUGAGAUAAAAUGACCUACCCAGGUGUCAUGCCCUGGCUGGGGCCCGGGACUGUGUAACUGGAGAGAGGAAGCUGAGGAGCAGCAGUAAUUCAGCACUCUCUGCUUCCUGUUUGUGGACAUCAUGUGACCAGCUGCUUCAAGCUGCUGCUGUCUCCACAGUCCUGACAUGAUGGACUGUAGCUGGGAACUGGAAACCAGAAUAAACUGUUUCUUCCUUAA